rnacentral:rRNA from 1 species
UACGGAGGAUCCAAGCGUUAUCCGGAAUCAUUGGGUUUAAAGGGUCCGUAGGCGGUUUGGUAAGUCAGUGGUGAAAGCCCAUCGCUCAACGGUGGAACGGCCAUUGAUACUGCCAGACUUGAAUUAUUAGGAAGUAACUAGAAUAUGUAGUGUAGCGGUGAAAUGCUUAGAGAUUACAUGGAAUACCAAUUGCGAAGGCAGGUUACUACUAAUGGAUUGACGCUGAUGGACGAAAGCGUGGGUAGCGAACGGGA